AGAUAAGAAAAUGGGGAAAAACAACAACACAAUCCAUCAGCACUCAGGAAAACAACGAGCAAUCAAACAACAAUUUUUAAAUAAAAAUGAAAGAGCAUAAAAUGGCUUUGCAAACAAAUUAACAGCUGGUGGCUGGUUGAAGUGGUCUGCUGAGAUGAAGCAGGCAGCAGGCAGCAGGUUUAUGGAUGUCGGGCAGGAAAGCAUUGACGAUUUUCGGGGACCACGUAAAUUUCCAUAUAUAUAAGGAUAUGGCCCAGUCCAUGAAGGAGGCAGGGCUCGACAUGGAGUGGCCGGAAGCAUCAUUUCUGCGGCCAGUGCGCCCCCGACCAAGCGCGCAAAACAGAACGACUGGUGCUGGUUCAGCAGCUUCUCGGCCUCGGGCAGCGUCGUGGGCGUUUCCUCGGAGGCCACGUCCGUCUGGGUCUUGGUCAGCCACGUCUGGAAGUGAUCGAGAUCGCGCAGGAAGCGGUGCAGAUCGCCGGCCUCCUCCAGCUUUGAGUCAAUAAUUAUUCCUUCUUGACAUUUUUGUAUUAAAAAAAUUUAGCAUUGCAA